AACGAACGCUGGCGGCAUGCCUAACACAUGCAAGUCGAACGAGACCUUCGGGUCUAGUGGCGCACGGGUGCGUAACGCGUGGGAACCUUCCCUUAGGUUCGGAAUAACUCCCCGAAAGGGGUGCUAAUACCGGAUAAUGUCUUCGGACCAAAGAUUUAUCGCCUUUGGAUGGGCCCGCGUUGGAUUAGCUAGUUGGUAGGGUAAAAGCCUACCAAGGCGACGAUCCAUAGCUGGUCUGAGAGGAUGAUCAGCCACACUGGGACUGAGACACGGCCCAGACUCCUACGGGAGGCAGCAGUGGGGAAUAUUGGACAAUGGGCGAAAGCCUGAUCCAGCAAUGCCGGGUGAGUGAUGAAGGCAUUAGGGUUGUAAAGCUCUUUUACCCGGGAUGAUAAUGACAGUACCGGGAGAAUAAGCUCCGGCUAACUCCGUG
rnacentral:rRNA from 1 species